AGUGAACGCUGGCGGUAGGCCUAACACAUGCAAGUCGAACGGCAGCACAGUAAGAGCUUGCUCUUACGGGUGGCGAGUGGCGGACGGGUGAGGAAUACAUCGGAAUCUACUUUUUCGUGGGGGAUAACGUAGGGAAACUUACGCUAAUACCGCAUACGACCUACGGGUGAAAGCAGGGGAUCUUCGGACCUUGCGCGAUUGAAUGAGCCGAUGUCGGAUUAGCUAGUUGGCGGGGUAAAGGCCCACCAAGGCGACGAUCCGUAGCUGGUCUGAGAGGAUGAUCAGCCACACUGGAACUGAGACACGGUCCAGACUCCUACGGGAGGCAGCAGUGGGGAAUAUUGGACAAUGGGCGCAAGCCUGAUCCAGCCAUACCGCGUGGGUGAAGAAGGCCUUCGGGUUUUAAAGCCCUUUUGUUGGGAAAGAAAAGCAGCAUGUUAAUACCCCGCUGUUCUGACGGUACCCAAAGAAUAAGCACCGGCUAACUUCGUG
rnacentral:rRNA from 1 species